rnacentral:rRNA from 1 species
GACGUAGGAGGCGAGCGUUAUCCGGAUUCACUGGGCGUAAAGCGCAUGUAGGCGGCUGGACAAGUCGUGUGUUAAAGCCCCUGGCUCAACUGGGGGAGGUCAUGCGAGACUGUUCGGCUUGAGGGCAACAGAGGCACGUGGAACUCCCGGUGUAGCGGUGGAAUGCGUAGAGAUCGGGAAGAACACCAGUGGCGAAGGCGACGUGCUGGGUUGCAACUGACGCUGAGAUGCGAAAGUGUGGGGAGCAAACGGG